GCUGCCACGGCUGGAAUCAGGCGCAGUGACAACGAGCGCGGACACCCCGGAGGACGUCGCGGAGGACAUCGAAGAGCUCCUGACCUGGAUCGACGAGGAAGUGACGGCCAACACAGGCAUCCUGGACGACACCGCAGACAUGGAUGAUCUGCUCGCGUGGAUCAACAACGGUGAGUUUGGGAGCAGCACAGCUGCCGGG